rnacentral:lncRNA from 1 species
AGAGGCCGGGCCCCCGCGAAAGCUGCGAACUCUCAUUGGGCCGCGCAGCACGUCGGAUCGCCUGACUGGCAGGAGGCAGCUGCAGAGGGGAGGGGAGCGCAGAAGGUGCAAAAGCUUUCUUGCAGCCCAAGCUUUCCCUGGUUAUUAGGCAUGCCCAGUUGUGUGGAGCACUCCGUCUUCGGCUGAGGUGCGGUGAAAGGAGAGAGCGGGAAAAACACCCGUUAGCAGAGAAGCUCGGGUCCAAGACAGCAAGGGAGAUGGAGAUGAAGACUGAGCGGCUGAGAGAAUGAGAAAGCACCAGGGAAAGUAUCAGGUAGACGGGACUUCACCUGCGUCCCUAAGGUACAGGUGUCCCCCUCUCCAUCGUGCAGCUCAGACGCACUCCAGUGUGCAAGAAUCAGCAGCGCACCGGGUCUGGAAAUAUCAUGAAGACUGCUUGUGAUCGGCGGCUGAUAUUUCCAAUGAGCCUGACCUACAUCUCGGAGACGCAGCAGGAUGUUCAUUGAUAAACAAAGCGGCUCUGGGGCGAUAUUGUACAGCAACAUGCUUCCAGUGUACAAUCAUUAGCGUAUUGACUUAGUCCUGGUUUCCUUCCCAUCCAUCCCGCCUCCCCUAAUCCCUAUCUAUAGGAAAGGUUCUGGGAGGGUCCUGAAUUUUAAAACUAAAAAGCGAUAUAAUCAGUUAACUAGAGUUUGUGAAAGAAUUGGGAAAACAGUGGAAGAAGGAAGAGCCCAGAAAAUAGGUAACCACGGUUGCUCUAAUUUCCCCCUUUCUCCUUAUUUUAGAUGUGACAGUGCGUUUCACCAGGUGCUGUGGCUGAGCUACUUUGUAUCUAUCCCACCUCUAUUUAAAGGAGACUUAAACCCUGCAGGUAUGGAAAUGAAGGCGGAGACGGAGAAGUUCAGUGACCCAGAAGUAACAAAUACAAUCUCCUUGGCGCCAUCCAUGUUCAUCCCACCCAGAGACUGAGUGUAUGUUACCAUGGGGCCAUGGUGCACUAAGAAGAUAGUAUGGAGAUCUGUCCGAGGGCUGAUUUUAUUAUACAAUGUCUCGGGAUAUCCAGGUCAUUAUAAAUAUGGUAAGCUAACUUUUACUUUUAGUUAUUAUCAAAAAGAUUUAUAAUUGUAUUUUCCCAGGUAAACUCUCAGCAAAUGCCUAAAAAUAUAUUCUAACAGAAAUAAAAGUGUUAAUGUAGCUUUAAAACUAUUUUUU